UGUAAAUCAUUCCUCUCCUUUUUCCCUCUCUUUCUUUCUUUACCAAAUCCCUACUCCUCAUUUCCCAACUCUCAUAACAUACAAACGUUAUGAGUUUGAGUUUUAAGUUGAGAGUAGAGAUUCUGAAAUAUAUAUCUAACUCUUAUCUCUAGGUCUGAAACACUUAUUUUAUCGACCCUAAACCCGUGGUUGGAUCCGUCACUGUAUAUAAGUUCAUGGAAUUAGCACCACAAAUAUCCAUACUUGUAGUCAUAUUUUGCAGCCUAAAUAUUAUUAUUGUGACAAUAGAAGCAACAUGGUGUGUUGUUAGAAGUGAUGCAAGUGCACAAGCUUUGCAAAGAGGUUUAGAUUAUGCUUGUAGCUAUGGUGCUGAUUGUGCACCUAUUCAAUCUUCUGGCCUUUGUUAUCUCCCAAAUACUAUUCAAAAUCAUGCUUCUUAUGCUUAUAAUAGUUUCUAUCAGAGGAAGAAUGAAGCCCCUGGCUCUUGUCAAUUUUCUGGCACUGCUACUAUUGCCAAAACUGAUCCAACUCCACCUAUUGAAGACGGAGCCUUGGAGCAACGGUAAAGUUGUCUCCAUAUGACCUAUAGGUCACGAGUUCAAGUAGUGAAAUCAGUCAUUAAUGCCUGCAAUAGGGUAGGUUGUCUACAUCACACACCCUUAGGGUACGGCCCUUUCCCGGACCUUGCGCGAACGCGAGAUACAUUGUGCAUCAGGAUACCUUUUAACCAGCUCCACCUAUUAUGAAUAAUGUAAAAACUUACUCAGCAUCCAGUAUUUAUAGCAAACAAAUGAAUGUAUUUAACUAUGGUUAAGUGAUUGUAUUGUCCCUUUAAUUUUUAACCGCUAAAGGUUUAAUUAUUUGAUUUGAUGCAUGUAAACAUUGGGUACGAAUAAAUAUUAUUUAUGUUGUUAUUUUUAGGUAAUUUCAUAGAAUAAAAAUUCUCUUACUAUAUUAUAUAAAAGUUAAAAUCUAUACAAAAUAGCUAGAACAGAGGCAUUAAUGGGCUGAGUUGUGAUUUAUUCUGUAUUUUCUUAGGCUAUGGAUCUUGUGUUUACCCAGCUUCUCCGAGGUAUGUUGUUUUAAUUAAACUUGCUUUAUUAGUCAUUUAUUUUCCAUAUUUCUCUGAGUUAUUUUUAUCAUUCGUGAUUUUCUAUUACCUUUUCUUCUCAGAGUUGUGUUUCAGUUUUAUAUUUCCUUUUAGUACCCAUUAUCUUUGAUUCCAGACUCCACUUAUGAAAAUUUACUGGAUUUCUUAUCUUUUUACUUCUUUUUAGUGUUGAAUUUUUGAACAUACAUUAACAUAUUGGUGUUCAAAAUUUAAAGGGAAAAAGAGGUAUAGAAUACACCGUCAAAUAUGAAGAGAAAAGACAAUAGGAAAAAAAUUGUUUCCUUAAAAAAAAGUGCUUUUUCUUCCACUUUAUCUCCCUAAAUAAUGCUACUUUUCUUUUCUUUUUUUUUAAAAGUAGAACGGCAUGAGCAAACUUUUUUCUUCCUUCCUUUUAUAUAUAUUAGUGCUUUCUUAGUGUGCGUGACUGGGAUUGUAUUGAUGAUGUUCCUGCUGUUCUUGGGUUGUCUUUCUUUUUAAUUUUUGUUUUUUAUUUAUAAUAUAAUUUAAUUAUAUAUACACUAACACUGUAAAAAUAAAUGUAAUUUAACUUGUUAUAACAUUAUAUAAUUCUUGCCUGACUUUUCAGGUUGCUAGUCCAACUUAUUACGAAUGGUUUACCUGUAUAUAACAUAUUUUAGGUGAUCUGAAAGUUUAAACGAAAAUUUCGUUUAAACUAUUAGCUAGUAUAAAAGAAGUUAAAAUAUUCACAAUAUUACCGUUAUUUAAACUUGAGUUUUAAUUUAUAUGGAUGUGAUUGUCAAUAUAGCCUUGUCAAAUACGUUAGCCAUCACAUUAAUUUGCCAUCUCUCUUCUAGGGCUGCUGGUGGGCUGAUUCCUCCCGAGGCGGGAGGACGCAACAAUACAAGUGGAGGAAUCUCGAUCAUCCCAGUUUUGUAUCCGCCACCACCAACAAAUAUAAACGCCGUGUACGGUAAUGGAUCGGACAUUCCCAACUCUCAAGAUUCUAAAGCCACUUCUCCCAAGUUUUGGACAAUGGCAAGCUUAGUUCCACCAUAUUUGAUGCUUCUCUUCCUUCAUAUUUUUCAACAUUUGUAGGCAUUCUUGGUCCUAGAAUGAGGACUUAACUUAGUGCAGUUUUGUAACAAAUUGAAAGCUUUAUUUUGGGAUUUUAAAGACUAGUGUUAUCAAAAUUAGCUUAAAGCAAUGAAACAAUGUAAAACAAGGAAUUAAUUAUCAUUUCAUGAGUGAAACCAUGCGCUUCAAAGAAGUGUACGUUUCAAACAA